ACCCAGAGCUCAGGGGCAUGGCAGCGCCCCAUGCCCAUGCCCCAAGCUAUGUAGCUAGUCCUGUGGCCGCGCUGGCCCGUCCCUCACUCCCUUGCUAUGUAUGCUAUUGCUACCCAUCCACUAUCGAUCAUCGCGGGCAUAAACUAAUCCGGCCGGCUGCGGCUGCAGCUACUCAUCGGCAAAGCUGCAGUAUAAAUUCAGGGGAGCUCCAUCGACGAGUGAGCUCCCUGGGGGACCAGGCUGGGAGAGCCCCCCCGUCAGGCCCCCUCCUCCUCCUGGUCUCCUCUCUUCUAUCCGAGCUCGGCAUUCAGGGCUACUACACCUGCUUACAUCCAUCGUUCAUGCAUGGUGCAUACAAUGGUAUGCGCAUAUGCACUGCAUUGUUCGUUCAGAAUAAAUAAGUAGACCAUGCAACUGCUACAUACACAGUGGAAAGGUUUUUGAUCGAGAGGCAACGCAAUUGCAAUGGUGAUCAGGAUACAAGCAGGGUGUGGUCGAGGUCGAUCGUGCAUCAUGGCCGCAUGCAUGCAUGGGAGAUGCAGCAGGCGUUGGCGUCGUCUGUCGCCACAGCUUGGAUAGCGGAACCAAAAAAAAAAAAGGGUCAUGUGGCUAGCAGCUUCUGUUUAUUUUCACUUUCUUCGUUCAUCGCAUGCUCUUGUUGUUCACUGUUGUACUAUCUAGUAGUUCUCUUUAUCUGGUGCUUGCAAUCUAAUUCUCCGCUUCCUUGUCGUGACAUUUUUUUUUCUUUCAAUGGUCGAUGUCUUCGUCAUGAAUGCUUUGUACUCUGCGUAUAUCGGUAUGCAGUUGUACGUGCCCUUUAUUAACACUUCCACUGUUCUAUAUA